rnacentral:rRNA from 1 species
CCUACGGGAGGCACCAGUAGGGAAUCUUCGGCAAUGGACGAAAGUCUGACCGAGCAACGCCGCGUGAGUGAAGAAGGUUUUCGGAUCGUAAAACUCUGUUGUUAGAGAAGAACAAGUACGUUAGUAACUGAACGUCCCCUGACGGUAUCUAACCAGAAAGCCACGGCUAACUACGUGCCAGCAGCCGCGGUAUACGUAGGUGGCAAGCGUUGUCCGGAUUUAUUGGGCGUAAAGCGAGCGCAGGCGGUUUCUUAAGUCUGAUGUGAAAGCCCCCGGCUCAACCGGGGAGGGUCAUUGGAAACUGGGAGACUUGAGUGCAGAAGAGGAGAGUGGAAUUCCAUGUGUAGCGGUGAAAUGCGUAGAUAUAUGGAGGAACACCAGUGGCGAAGGCGGCUCUCUGGUCUGUAACUGACGCUGAGGCUCGAAAGCGUGGGGAGCAAACAGGAUUAGAUACCCGGGUAGUC